GGAAGGAUCAUUCGUGAAAAUGUGUCACCUGUAUUGUGUGUAUCUUAAUGUAUUAUAAAUUUCAACGAUGAAUUACUCAGCUCGGUAAACGAUGAAGACUUAGUGAAUUGAGAUAAUCAUCUCGAUAUACAGAGUUAGUGAGAGAUAUUGAUCUCCGAACGCAGGAUGCUUUGAUUUUACAGUCAAAGGUUUCGUCAAAACACAAAAUUUUAAGAUGUAAAGGACUAAAAUCCUGUUUAAUUUCAUUACUUAUAUUGAAUGUAAUAAUGAUAAUUUAUCUGUUUUGACGAAUCAGAAAACCUCCUGAAUUUAAGCAUAUUAUUAAGGAGAGGAAAAGAGAAUAAAUAUGAUAUCCCUAGUAACGGCGAGUGAAGAGGAUUAACUCUAAAUUGGAAGACAUGGUGUAAGCCAUGUAGUUCCAUUCGAAGAUAUUUGUCUGUCGUAGUUUAAACGUUUUAACAGACGUACCGAAGAAGAUGUUGGUUCUUUAAAAUUACGAUAAGCAAUCUAUAUCUUUGUCAAAAGUCGUAUUCCUUAGGAGUGGAGUAUUAAUGAGGGUCGUACUCUGACCUAAGAGUAAAUAUUUUACCGAGACUGAUAGCACAAAAGUACCGUGAGGGAAAGUUUAAAAGAACUUUGAAGAGAGAGUUAAAUAGAAUAUGAAAUCGUUGAGAUGGAAUCUUGCAAAUGAAGUGUGUAGAGGGGCUCAAGUAUUACUUGGGCCAUUGGGUUUGUUCAUCUGAAUUCUAUUCAUGGAAUCGCGCUUACUACAUUUCGUAUGUACGGCUAUGUUAACUUGAUAGAUUUGUGUGAACAUGCCUCAGGCUGAAUUUGCAAGUCCCGUCUUGAAACACGGACCAAGGAGUCUAGCGUACUCGCGAGUGAAUUAGUUUUAUGCUAAUACUUCAAUGAAAGUAAAGCCUGUUUUGCUCUAUGGCAAAGACCGAUCAUUAUUUUCGAAGAAAGAUUGCGUUGGAGUGAGCACGCUGGGACCCGAAAGGUGGUGAACUAUACCUGGGAAGGGUGAAGUCAGGGGAAACUCUGAUGGAGGCUCGUAGUGAUACUGACGUGCAAAUCGUUCGUUAUAUUUGGGUAUAGGGGGCGAAAGACUAAUCGAACCACCUAGUAGCUGGUUCCUCU
rnacentral:misc_RNA from 1 species